GAUGAACGCUGGCGGCGUGCCUAAUACAUGCAAGUCGAGCGAACGGACGAGAAGCUUGCUUCUCUGAUGUUAGCGGCGGACGGGUGAGUAACACGUGGAUAACCUACCUAUAAGACUGGGAUAACUUCGGGAAACCGGAGCUAAUACCGGAUAAUAUUUUGAACCGCAUGGUUCAAAAGUGAAAGACGGUCUUGCUGUCACUUAUAGAUGGAUCCGCGGUGCAUUAGCUAGUUGGUAAGGUAACGGCUUACCAAGGCAACGAAGCAUAGCCGACCUGAGAGGAUCAUCAGACACACUGGAACUGAGACACGGUCCAGACUCCUAGGGGAGGAGGCAGUGGGGAAUAUUGGACAAUGGGGGAAGUCCUGACCCAGCCAUACGGCGUGGGUGAAGAAGGCUUUCGGGUUUUAAAGCCCUUUUGUUGGGAAAGAAAAACAGCAGGUUAAUACCCCGCUGUUCUGACGGUACCCAAAGAAUAAGCACCGGCUAACUUCGUG
rnacentral:rRNA from 1 species